AGGUUCUUGCUGGAGAAGCAGGGUACGUGCAAAAUUAACACCAACCGGUCGAGCUAGCAAGCUCUGACCAUGGUGAUGAAUGCACGUGCUCCCCUUCUCCACCAUGGCCUU
rnacentral:pre_miRNA from 1 species